ACCAGGGGUAGCUCAGCCGGUAGCGCAUGAGACUCCCAUUUCAGGUUUGUGGGUUCGAGCCCCACAUUGGGCA